GCUGUCGAGUUACUAGCUUGAGACUCUGGAGAUGAACCGACGCAGAAACAACAGCUUUAUGAAAUAUAUUUCAUAUUUUAAUACACAAAGGCUAACAGUGUUUUCACGGAGUGGCCGUUAGCUAGCAAAAAGGUAGGGAGGAGAUGACACCAAAACGCUUCAUCGUUGAGGACCUGUUCACCUUUGUGAAGACGAAGGAAGUGGUCUUAACUUCAGUGGAGGUUUUCAUGCUGUGUGUCCCUACAGGCCAGGCUUCUUCCUCUCAGCUUGUUUUGGCCUCCUCUCAGCUGACUCGGUGCCUGGGAAAAUGUCCCAGUGUAUUCACACAGGAAAGGAGCAGAUGAUAAGAGGAAAGCAGAAAACUCCACCAGCCGGAGUUUGGAUGUACCGAUGGAGCGGCCCUGCCAUGCUGGUGCCGUGGGAGCCGGAGCUGCUGUGGGCUCAUAACCUGGAGAUGCACCAAAAAAUCAAAGCCAUCCUGUCUGUGGGUUGUUUGACACCACAGCAUAAACAUGGGUCCUGAGAUAAUUUUAGAGAUUUUCUUUAAGUGGUUUCAGGGACAGGGACAUCUGGUUGGAUACAGUUUUUCUUAUUGAUGUUACUAACUUUUAUUCUAAUUACUUCUAAUCCAAAACACAGUUAAAAAAUGUCUAUCACAGCUGCAUCUGCACAUUGUGAGUCGUUCAGGAAACAUUUGUAUGCAUAGAUAGCUUUCCGCCUGCACUCUAUGGGGCAUAUUGUUUCAGGGAAAAAAAACACGUUCUUAUGAGCUCAAAUUAUUUAACUUCAAGGCAAGACAACAAAAGAAACUGAAAGAAAUAAGUACUUUUAAGAAAUAUGAACCAAUUUUCAACUUU